UACAGAGGGUGCAAGCGUUGUUCGGAAUUAUUGGGCGUAAAGGGUGCGUAGGCGGUGCGGUAAGUCUGUUGUGAAAUCUCCGGGCUCAACUCGGAGUCUGCACAGGAAACUAUCUGGCUUGAGUGUGGGAGAGGUGAGUGGAAUUCCUGGUGUAGCGGUGAAAUGCGUAGAUAUCAGGAGGAACACCUGUGGCGAAAGCGGCUCACUGGACCACAACUGACGCUGAGGCGCGAAAGCUAGGGGAGCAAACAGG
rnacentral:rRNA from 1 species